CUACGGGGCGCAGCAGUGGGGAAUAUUGCACAAUGGAGGAAACUCUGAUGCAGCAACGCCGCGUGGAGGAUGACACUUUUCGGAGCGUAAACUCCUUUUAUAUGUCAAGAAAAUGACGGUAUCAUAUGAAUAAGCGCCGGCUAACUCCGUGCCAGCAGCCGCGGUAAUACGGAGGGCGCAAGCGUUACUCGGAAUCACUGGGCGUAAAGAGCGUGUAGGCGGGUAGUUAAGUUGGAAGUGAAAUCCUAUGGCUCAACCAUAGAACUGCUUCCAAAACUGAUUACCUAGAAUAUGGGAGAGGUAGAUGGAAUUUCUGGUGUAGGGGUAAAAUCCGUAGAGAUCAGAAGGAAUACCGAUUGCGAAGGCGAUCUACUGGAACAUUAUUGACGCUGAGACGCGAAAGCGUGGGGAGCAAACAGGAUUAGAUACCCUCGUAGUC
rnacentral:rRNA from 1 species